ACACAGGAAUGUUUCAACCUCCAUUGAGGUCUUUGUCAAACUUGACAAAGACCUCAGUGCAGGUUGAAACAUUUUGUUGU